rnacentral:rRNA from 1 species
AACGAACGCUGGCGGCGCGCCUAACACAUGCAAGUCGAACGAGAAGCUGUAGCAAUACAGCGGUACAGUGGCGAACGGGUGAGUAACACGUGGGUGACCUACCCUCGAGUGGGGAAUAACCCGCCGAAAGGCGGGCUAAUGCCGCAUACGCCUCCGGGUUCACGGACCCGGAAGGAAAGCCGUAGCUAGGCUAUGGCGCUCUUGGAUGGGCUCACGUCCUAUCAGCUUGUUGGUAGGGUAAUGGCCUACCAAGGCUCCGACGGGUAGCUGGUCUGAGAGGACGAUCAGCCACACUGGCACUGCGACACGGGCCAGACUCCUACGGGAGGCAGCAGUGAGGAAUAUUGCGCAAUGGGCGAAAGCCUGACGCAGCGACGCCGCGUGGGGGAUGAAGGUCUUCGGAUUGUAAACCCCUUUCGGGAGGGAAGAUGGUCCUAGACAACUAGGACGGACGGUACCUCCAGAAGCAGCCACGGCUAACUUCGUGCCAGCAGCCGCGGUAAUACG